CCUACCCACAGGAAGAGAAGAAGGGAGUUCAGACGUACCGAGUUCACCGCGGAGAGCAAGGGAAGAGCUGGGGAUGGAAGGGCCUGGAGUAGCACGGCCUUUUAUACGCUCCCCUGGGGCUCUGGGCCGCAGUAUAAAAGUGGCCCAACUGCCAGCUCCUCCAUCCUCUCCUCGCGCCUUCCUCUGCUCCGGGAAGUUGUGGCUGCUGUCUUCAGGAGCCUGUUGCGUUGUGCUCAGCCACGUCCCCUCCUGAGAGCAGGGUGAGAGGAGCCCGACCUGGCAAGACCAGGGCUCUCCAGGGCAGGGCGUUUGGCUGCGUGAACAGAUGGGUGCUGGUACCAGGGCUGAUGGCCAGGAA